GAGAAGAGCAAGUGACCUGGGGAAAGGCGGCUUUCUUUGUCUUGAUGGUGUGUCGAUUUCCACUGCUCAGAAGGCCUGACCACAGAGGAACCCCAAGUCAUCCAGCUGGCAAUAGUGUGAGAAAACAUCUGCAUUCCCUUAACUCCCCUCUGAGGUACAGCACACACUGAAAGUGCACAGACUGCAGGUGCACGGCAUGGUGAGGUUAUGGCCAGACACACCCGGACGGAGAGCAGAACGUGUACAAAUAUGUGCAGACUGCAGGUGCACGGCAUGGUGAUGUUAAGGCCGGACACACCCGGACGGAGAGCAGAACGUGUACAAAUAUGUGCAGAC
rnacentral:lncRNA from 1 species